rnacentral:rRNA from 1 species
AUUGAACGCUGGCGGCAUGCCUUACACAUGCAAGUCGAACGGUAACAGGUCUUCGGACGCUGACGAGUGGCGAACGGGUGAGUAACGCAUCGGAACGUGCCCAGUAGUGGGGGAUAGCCCGGCGAAAGCCGGAUUAAUACCGCAUACGACCUGAGGGUGAAAGGGGGGGAUCGCAAGACCUCUCGCUAUUGGAGCGGCCGAUGUCAGAUUAGCUAGUUGGUGGGGUAAAGGCCUACCAAGGCAACGAUCUGUAGUUGGUCUGAGAGGACGACCAGCCACACUGGGACUGAGACACGGCCCAGACUCCUACGGGAGGCAGCAGUGGGGAAUUUUGGACAAUGGGCGCAAGCCUGAUCCAGCAAUGCCGCGUGCAGGAAGAAGGCCUUCGGGUUGUAAACUGCUUUUGUCAGGGAAGAAAUCUUCUGGGUUAAUACCUCGGGAGGAUGACGGUACCUGAAGAAUAAGCACCGGCUAACUACGUG